AACGCGAAGAACCUUACCCAGACUUGACAUCCAGGAAAUCCUUCAGAGAUGAGGGAGUGCCCGCAAGGGAAUCCUGAGACAGGUGCUGCAUGGCUGUCGUCAGCUCGUGUCGUGAGAUGUUGGGUUAAGUCCCGCAACGAGCGCAACCCUCGCCUUUAGUUGCCAGCAUUCAGUUGGGCACUCUAGAGGGACUGCCGGUGUCAAGCCGGAGGAAGGUGGGGAUGACGUCAAGUCCUCAUGGCCUUUAUGUCUGGGGCUACACACGUGCUACAAUGGUCGGUACAAAGGGAAGCAAAAGCGCGAGCUCGAGCCAAUCUCAGAAAACCGACCCCAGUUCGGAUCGAAGUCUGCAACUCGACUUCGUGAAGUCGGAAUCGCUAGUAAUCGCGGAUCAGAACGCCGCGGUGAAUACGUUCCCGGGCCUUGUACACACCGGUACUA
rnacentral:rRNA from 1 species